rnacentral:rRNA from 1 species
GGGUUGUGAGGUUAAGCGACUAAGCGUACACGGUGGAUGCCCUGGCAGUCAGAGGCGAUGAAGGACGUGCUAAUCUGCGAAAAGCGUCGGUAAGGUGAUAUGAACCGUUACAGCCGGCGAUGUCCGAAUGGGGAAACCCAGUGCAAUUCGUUGCACUAUCGUUAACUGAAUACAUAGGUUAACGAGGCGAACCGGGGGAACUGAAACAUCUAAGUACCCCGAGGAAAAGAAAUCAACCGAGAUUCCCCCAGUAGCGGCGAGCGAACGGGGAGCAGCCCAGAGUCUGAAUCAGCUUGUGUGUUAGUGGAACGGUCUGGAAAGUCCGACGGUACAGGGUGAUAGUCCCGUACACCAAAAUGCACAGGUUGUGAACUCGAAGAGUAGGGCGGGACACGUGGUAUCCUGUCUGAAUAUGGGGGGACCAUCCUCCAAGGCUAAAUACUCCUGACUGACCGAUAGUGAACCAGUACCGUGAGGGAAAGGCGAAAAGAACCCCGGCGAGGGGAGUGAAAAAGAACCUGAAACCGUGUACGUACAAGCAGUGGGAGCACCUUCGGGUGUGACUGCGUACCUUUUGUAUAAUGGGUCAGCGACUUAUAUUCUGUAGCAAGGUUAACCGUAUAGGGGAGCCGCAGGGAAACCGAGUCUUAACUGGGCGUUAAGUUGCAGGGUAUAGACCCGAAACCCGGUGAUCUAGCCAUGGGCAGGUUGAAGGUUGGGUAACACUAACUGGAGGACCGAACCGACUAAUGUUGAAAAAUUAGCGGAUGACUUGUGGCUGGGGGUGAAAGGCCAAUCAAACCGGGAGAUAGCUGGUUCUCCCCGAAAGCUAUUUAGGUAGCGCCUCGUGAACUCAUCUUCGGGGGUAGAGCACUGUUUCGGCUAGGGGGUCAUCCCGACUUACCAACCCGAUGCAAACUACGAAUACCGAAGAAUGUUAUCACGGGAGACACACGGCGGGUGCUAACGUCCGUCGUGAAGAGGGAAACAACCCAGACCGCCAGCUAAGGUCCCAAAGUCAUGGUUAAGUGGGAAACGAUGUGGGAAGGCACAGACAGCCAGGAUGUUGGCUUAGAAGCAGCCAUCAUUUAAAGAAAGCGUAAUAGCUCACUGGUCGAGUCGGCCUGCGCGGAAGAUGUAACGGGGCUAAACCAUGCACCGAAGCUGCGGCAGCGACACUAUGUGUUGUUGGGUAGGGGAGCGUUCUGUAAGCCUGCGAAGGUGUGCUGUGAGGCAUGCUGGAGGUAUCAGAAGUGCGAAUGCUGACAUAAGUAACGAUAAAGCGGGUGAAAAGCCCGCUCGCCGGAAGACCAAGGGUUCCUGUCCAACGUUAAUCGGGGCAGGGUGAGUCGACCCCUAAGGCGAGGCCGAAAGGCGUAGUCGAUGGGAAACAGGUUAAUAUUCCUGUACUUGGUGUUACUGCGAAGGGGGGACGGAGAAGGCUAUGUUAGCCGGGCGACGGUUGUCCCGGUUUAAGCAUGUAGGCUGAUUGUCCAGGCAAAUCCGGAUAAUCAAGGCUGAGGUGUGAUGACGAGGCACUACGGUGCUGAAGUAACAAAUGCCCUGCUUCCAGGAAAAGCCUCUAAGCAUCAGGUAACAUUAAAUCGUACCCCAAACCGACACAGGUGGUCAGGUAGAGAAUACCAAGGCGCUUGAGAGAACUCGGGUGAAGGAACUAGGCAAAAUGGUGCCGUAACUUCGGGAGAAGGCACGCUGGUGUGUAGGUGAAGCCCCUGCGGGUGGAGCUGAGACCAGUCGAAGAUACCAGCUGGCUGCAACUGUUUAUUAAAAACACAGCACUGUGCAAACACGAAAGUGGACGUAUACGGUGUGACGCCUGCCCGGUGCCGGAAGGUUAAUUGAUGGGGUUAUCCGUAAGGAGAAGCUCUUGAUCGAAGCCCCGGUAAACGGCGGCCGUAACUAUAACGGUCCUAAGGUAGCGAAAUUCCUUGUCGGGUAAGUUCCGACCUGCACGAAUGGCGUAAUGAUGGCCAGGCUGUCUCCACCCGAGACUCAGUGAAAUUGAACUCGCUGUGAAGAUGCAGUGUACCCGCGGCAAGACGGAAAGACCCCGUGAACCUUUACUAUAGCUUGACACUGAACAUUGAGCCUUGAUGUGUAGGAUAGGUGGGAGGCUUUGAAGCGUGGACGCCAGUCUGCGUGGAGCCGACCUUGAAAUACCACCCUUUAAUGUUUGAUGUUCUAACGUUGGCCCCUUAUCGGGGUUGCGGACAGUGUCUGGUGGGUAGUUUGACUGGGGCGGUCUCCUCCCAAAGCGUAACGGAGGAGCACGAAGGUUAGCUAAUCCUGGUCGGACAUCAGGAGGUUAGUGCAAUGGCAUAAGCUAGCUUGACUGCGAGCGUGACGGCGCGAGCAGGUGCGAAAGCAGGUCAUAGUGAUCCGGUGGUUCUGAAUGGAAGGGCCAUCGCUCAACGGAUAAAAGGUACUCCGGGGAUAACAGGCUGAUACCGCCCAAGAGUUCAUAUCGACGGCGGUGUUUGGCACCUCGAUGUCGGCUCAUCACAUCCUGGGGCUGAAGUAGGUCCCAAGGGUAUGGCUGUUCGCCAUUUAAAGUGGUACGCGAGCUGGGUUUAGAACGUCGUGAGACAGUUCGGUCCCUAUCUGCCGUGGGCGCUGGAGAAUUGAGGGGGGCUGCUCCUAGUACGAGAGGACCGGAGUGGACGCAUCACUGGUGUUCGGGUUGUCAUGCCAAUGGCACUGCCCGGUAGCUAAAUGCGGAAGAGAUAAGUGCUGAAAGCAUCUAAGCACGAAACUUGCCCCGAGAUGAGUUCUCCCUGAGACUUUAAGUCUCCUGAAGGAACGUUAAAGACGAUGACGUUGAUAGGCCGGGUGUGUAAGCGCAGCGAUGCGUUGAGCUAACCGGUACUAAUGAACCGUGAGGCUUAACCUUACAACGCCGAAG